UGCAUCGGCCGGGAAUUGAACCAGGGCCGCCCACGUGGCAGGCGAGCAUUCUACCACUGAACCACCGAUGU
rnacentral:tRNA from 1 species